rnacentral:lncRNA from 1 species
AUUUCCUCUGCCCAGGGUCCACAGCCCUUUACAGUGAUGCUACAUCUAUAUGCUCCUGCGCAGUUAGCGACUGCUCCCUGUAAAUUACCAGGCAUGACAGAGGCGAGGCCCCUGGUCACCUGCAGGACAGCAGUCUUGUCCAGGAAGAACCCCCACCCGCCAGAAUGGCCACCAGUAUGCCUAGGACAUUGGUACUGGUGACCAGCUCACACAGCCUGAUGGACCCUGGUGGCACUGCCGACUGGGGAGGUCCGAGAGCUGAUCAGGUUGAAGAUGACAGAUAGGAUGACAUUUGGGGCUAUAGUUUGGAAGCAGUUGACAGGCACAGGAGCAUGGGGGGCCUCUAGAAGGUAGUCAUGGCUGAUAAGCAAAGCCAGGAAGUUCACCAGAACCCCAGGGGGAUCGGGAGCGACAGCUGGGCAGGCGGGAUGUGCAGCAGCUGGAGGGGCCCGUCUUCCAGUCUCUUUCUGGAGGAUACAUUCUGAAGCGAGAGGCACACUGUUCCAGAGACACUGCCACCGAGCCCCCCCCACCCCCACCCCACGUGGAAAUACAACUCCGGGACGGUGGGUGGCCAGCUGGCUGCCACUGUGAUGGCAGGAAGAGCAAAGGAACUGCUUCUCUUUGGUGUCACCGACCUGCUGGGCUGAACUUGAAGCAGCUUUCAGUCGGGAAUUCUGCUCCCUGCACUGAAGGCGUGCCAAGUCCUACGAGGAGAAGGAUCUCUCCAGAACCAUGACAGCGGCUGUUUCUGGGGACGGAAUCCAGGAAAUGGGAUGGGAGGGGGUGUGAUGGGAAUUCAUCUUUCUCUGUCAUGUUUUGUCUUUUUUUAGUAAAAAUAUCUGACGCGAAUAGGAUAAAAUGUUAACAUUGAUUCU